rnacentral:ncRNA from 1 species
AUAAAAGUUUGAUUCUUGCUUUUAGGAAUUAUUUUAUGAUGAUUAUUAACAUGUAAAUAUUUGUGUGAUAUUAAUUUUAUCUAAAAGAUAAUUUUUUAUUAUUUAUUCGCAGUUUAUAAUAUUAUAAUCUGGACGUUAGUCUGAUUUAGUUAAUUUUUUUAAUUCUGAUUAAAUUUGUGCCAGCAUUCGCGGUUAUACAAUUAGGGUAAAUGAUUCUUAUUGGUUUUGUAUUAUUUAUUUUAGGUUUAUUUAUUUAAGUAGAUUGUUAGGUAAAAUUUCAAUCUUUAAUUUUAUUUAUGGUUUAUAAUUUAUAUGAAAGUCUGAGUAUAAACUAGGAUUAGAUACCCUAUUAUUCAGUCUGUUAAUUGUUUAACUUUAAAAUUAAUAGUUAUGUUCUUUAAAUUAAAAGAAUUUGGCGGUAAUUUAAUCUAAUCAGGGGAAUCUGUUCUGUUAUCGACAAUCCACGAUGAAUGUUACUUUAUUUUUUUUCUUGUAUAUCGCUGUCAUUGAAUGUUCUUUAAGGAUUGUUUUUAAUUUUCUUACUUUCUUUAUAUUGAUAGAUGUCAGGUCAAGGUGCAGGUUAUAAUAAAGAAGAAAUGGAUUACAUUAUUUAUAUAUAUGGAUAGAAAUAUGGAAAUUUUCUUGAAAUUGGAUUUGGAAGUAAUUAAAAUUAGAAUAUUUUUUUGAAUAGUGCUCUAGAUUAUGCACACAUCGCCCGUCGCUCUCGUUAUUUCAAGAUGAGAUAAGUCGUAACAAAGUAAGCUUACCGGAAGGUGAGCUUGGGAAUAU